rnacentral:rRNA from 1 species
AUUGAACGCUGGCGGCAGGCCUAACACAUGCAAGUCGAGCGAGCGGCGGACGAGUGAGUAAUGUCUGGGAAACUGCCUGAUGGAGGGGGAUAACUACUGGAAACGGUAGCUAAUACCGCAUACCAUCAGAUGUGCCCAGAUGGGAUUAGCUAGUAGGUGGGGUAACGGCUCACCUAGGCGACGAUCCCUAGCUGGCCUGAGAGGAUGACCAGCCCCACGGGAAUUGAGCCACUGUCCAGACUCCUCCGUGAGGCAUCAGUGGGGAAUAUUGCACAAUGGGCGCAACCCUGAUGCAGCCAUGCCGCGUGUGUGAAGAAGGCCUUCGGGUUGUAAAGCACUUUCAGCGGUGAGGCGUUACCCGCAGAAGAAGCACCGGCUAACUCCGUGCCAGCCGCCGCGGUAAUUC